UACAGAGGUCCCAAGCGUUGUUCGGAUUCACUGGGCGUAAAGGGUGCGUAGGUGGUCGGGUAAGUUUGAUGUGAAAUCUCCGGGCUUAACCCGGAAAUGGCAUUGAAUACUAUUCGGCUGGAGGGUUGGAGGGGGGACUGGAAUUCUUGGUGGAGGAGUGAAAUGCGUAGAUAUCGAGAGGAACCCCAGUGGCGAAGGCGAGUCCCUGGACAACUCCUGACACUAAGGCACGAAAGCUAGGGGAGCAAACAGG
rnacentral:rRNA from 1 species